rnacentral:rRNA from 1 species
CUAACACAUGCAAGUCGAGCGAUGAAGCUCCUUUCGGGAGUGGAUUAGCGGCGGACGGGUGAGUAACACGUGGGUAACCUGCCUCAUAGAGGGGAAUAGCCUCCCGAAAGGGAGAUUAAUACCGCAUAAUGUAUGAGAAUCGCAUGAUUUUUGUACCAAAGGAGCAAUCCGCUAUGAGAUGGACCCGCGGCGCAUUAGCUAGUUGGUGAGGUAAAGGCUCACCAAGGCGACGAUGCGUAGCCGACCUGAGAGGGUGAUCGGCCACAUUGGAACUGAGACACGGUCCAGACUCCUACGGGAGGCAGCAGUGGGGAAUAUUGCGCAAUGGGGGAAACCCUGACGCAGCAACGCCGCGUGAAUGAAGAAGGCCUUAGGGUUGUAAAGUUCUGUCAUAUGGGAAGAUAAUGACGGUACCAUAUGAGGAAGCCACGGCUAACUACGUGCCAGCAGCCGCGGUAAUACGUAGGUGGCAAGCGUUGUCCGGAUUUACUGGGCGUAAAGGAUGCGUAGGCGGACAUUUAAGUCAGAUGUGAAAUACCCGGGCUCAACUUGGGUGCUGCAUUUGAAACUGGGUGUCUAGAGUGCAGGAGAGGAAAGCGGAAUUCCUAGUGUAGCGGUGAAAUGCGUAGAGAUUAGGAAGAACACCAGUGGCGAAGGCGGCUUUCUGGACUGUAACUGACGCUGAGGCAUGAAAGCGUGGGGAGCAAACAGGAUUAGAUACCCUGGUAGUCCACGCCGUAAAC